rnacentral:misc_RNA from 1 species
CCUGUUCGAGCGUCAUUUCAACCCUCAAGCGCUGCUUGGUAUUGGGUGUCACCGCCUAGGUGCACCCUAAAAUCAGUGGCGGAGCUGUUCGGCUUCCAGCGUAGUAAACUUCUCGCUGUGGAGACGGGCACGCCCCACGCCAGCAACCUCUAUAACUCCAGGUUGACCUCGGAUCAGGUAGGGAUACCCGCUGAACUUAA